GCCAUGGGCAGGAGAAGUUUGGGCUUGGACAUGUCCACGGGGGAAAUAGCCACCAGCUCUCUGGGAAGCCUGAGCUCAGUGGAUAUGAACACACCUGCUGAGCUCCGUGACUACUUGGAUGUUGGGACCCCGGUCAAGUUGCGUGACAGCCCACCCAGGCCUGCUCCCACUCCUACCAAGCCCAGGAGCAAACUGCCUCGGCCUAUAAGGUUCCUCAGCCUGCCAAAGGCUGCCACCGGCUCAGGGAGAAGAAGAUCGAGGGCUUGACCUCUCUCCGUGUGAUGGCUCAGAACCACAUGGACAUACUGAUGCCUAAACUCCAUGAUAUCUGCCUUGCCAUUAUAAAUGAGCCACCGUAACGCUGAGGUGAGGAGCUGUACUGCUCAGCACCUGGAGAGACUGGCUGAGGUCAUGGGGACGGCUCGUCUCCUAUCGGGGAAGAAAGACCUCACUGACCGUUUCUUGAUUGCUGUUAGUAAACUGGCUGUGGACCCUUCACAGGAAGUCAGGUGGGAAGUUCCUCCUGUAAAGUAGCUUGCUUCAACAUAACAGUUAAGGCCGGGAUUCAAUCCAUGGCUCGCUAUAGCACUAGAUAGCCGACAAUGCAGCUUUUAAAGGUAAUUUAGUCUUGAGUCAACAUCUGCAGUGUUUACCACGAAUACAAAUUGAAAUUGCCUUUAAAAGCCACAUUGUCGGCUGUCUACAGCAUCUGUGCUAAAGGGUGUCAUGGAUUGAAUUGCGGAUUUUAGGUAUUCGAAAACAACCACAGGUUCUCUUGGAGGGGAAUAGUAAUUGAAAACAAAAAGGAAAAAUUAUAAAUACAAAUAAGUUCUACGUGGCAUAGGACAAUCCAAGUCCAGGCACUCAUGUGGGUUUGAAAGUUAAAAUGCUGCUGGCUUCCAGGUUCAGCGGGCAUUGUGUCAAGAAGCAGUGUGGCUUGGCUGGGUUGUGUUUCGGAGGAUGCACGGCUCUCGACCUUCGCCUCUCCAGAGUCCUUACAGGAGUUGCCGCGAUGGGCAAAGAUUGUAACUACCUAUUGGAUACCACAAAAUUGGGGUAAAAAUUACAAAUGUAAAUGAGUCCAAAUAUUCAGUACCUGAUUCAGUUUCCUUCCUUCUGUUUGGUGCCUAAUGAAGACAACUCUACUUGAUCACAAUGGUCGGUCUGAGCCAAGUGCUGUGCAGAUUCGCUAAGAUUUUCAUAAUAACGAACGGUUAAUAACCAGUUGUUAUAUUGUUGAGAUGAUUUGUAGAUCAGGUAAUGCGGUGCAUUACUCAAACCGACCCUCUUGCCAAUUCUACCUAAUGUAUGUCUUAUUUUGAUGGGAUAUUUUUUCUCAGGUUGCCAUCAAUUGAGUACCGUUUUUAAUCACAGACAGCAGAAAUGAUUUGAUAUGUUGCACGUUUAAGAUGAUAUUAAUAUCUUUGUCUACAGGCAUCAUGGUCGCAAUAUCUUGAGAAACGUGGCCACCAAUGUCGAAUUUGCUAAAAUGUGGGACAAAUUCGCUCCGAGGAAAGAGCAAGAAUCCUUGAGGGAGGUCAUCUCAAAGGUUAACCUCAAAGAAUGGUACAUUCUCUCUGGAUGAUUAGAAGAAGUGUGACAAAUGAGCUGAUAUGAUUACAGAAAUCCAAUCCCACUGGGCACAGACAUCAAUGUCUAGUUUUGAUUUAAAUUUGGAACUCAACCAAAAUGUGAAAUCCACCAAAAAUGUUGGUUAAAAGUUGUGUGGGAAAAAAAUCAAUUGUGUUUUCCACGUUGAUUCACCGCAAAUAACGUUUAUUCAACCAGUUUUGGCCCAAUGGGAUGAAUUUAAUAUACUGUAAGAUUAUAUCUUUCUCUCUUUUUCAACAGGAAUAUUUGAAUAAUCCCCAAUUUUACGAUAAAUUUGUAUCUAAAUAUUUGCACAUUUCCCAACUUGACUAUUAUCCCCUCCAGUCCCCAAACUCCAAUAUUUUAGCUCAUUCUAAGAAAUUUGACACCCUCCUCUAAACCCCCAUGUAAAUGCAUCUUUAAACUGCAUUGACUCCUUGUCCAAGUCCUGAAUCCACUAUAAGGCCAUAUGAACCACAUUCAAAGCCCAAUAGUGAUCUACUGAAACCAUACUCACCAUCUCAGGGGGUGCUCAGAUCCUCAACCACUGACCUCCACACCAUCCUCAAAACCAGCAGUCCUCUUUUGGAGGCAGAUUGGUCAGUGCUCCUGUAUGGCACCAACAUUGUGGAUUUUCAUCCAAUACUUCUGGACUAUGAGAACAUUCUUUGGACAAUAAAAUUAGGUAAAAUGGAAGCUGGCUACAGUCUCAGUUUUAUCCUCCAAGACAGUGUGAGGAUGUGUAACAACAAUACCUGUGGUUUAACUUGAUGAUCAGGGCCAGAUUACCGAAUGGGCACGCAGGGCACCUGCCCUGUGGGCCCCGACCUCCAGGCAAUAUCAUUAUAAAUCCAAAACUAAAAUGAUAGUGGAUGUAUAUUACAGUACGUGGACGUUUUACAAUUUGUGAGCUCAUUUCAUACUUUGUAGCCAUGUUUUAUAUAAAUUUGUGCAUAUUUUGUAGAAAGUCGUGAGCAUUUGAAAACAUUUAGUGGGGAUGUUUUAUAUCAAUUUGCUUACUGGUGCUCUUAAAUGCUGUCCCUAGGAGGGGUGCGUCACUUAAGUGGGUUGAGUCACUGACGUGAUCUUCCUGCCUGGGU